rnacentral:lncRNA from 10 species
CUCAGGGCAGCUGGGCCUCUGUUUGUCCAGCCAGGUCACAGCUGAGCACUGGAGCAGCUGUAGCCCCUGGCAUGAUCAUCAUGGUUGAAGCUGUGCCCAAAGCCUGGCCCUUGGCCUGAGGGGAAGUUGAGACAAUCAGCAGUAUUGGGAGAUGAGGCAAAGGUGUUCGUGGGGGCUCUCAGGCAGUGGGAACAACGAUGUGAGCCUUCACAGGGUUGCUCUAGCUUUGCUCCCUGGGAAGCAGGCUCUGAGAUGAAGAUCAGCAUGCAGGACUUUUGGGAGGGAGUGCUCUUGGAAUCAACUCCUAUAGGAGAGGAAAGAAAGAAAGGAUGCAGAAUUGGGAGGAGAAAAGUGGAGCUGUGAUUCAUUCCCAACAGAAGCCUCAGCCAAUCCCGCAGGAAGUUCUGAAGAUGGGAUGGUCCUUCACCUGAUCUGGUGCUGGGUCAUGAAAGUAAUCCUGUGAAGAUUCCAUUUCUGGCCAACAUGGAGUAAUGCAGCAUGGAUUUAACCUGCAUGCUGAAACAACUAAAACACAGACAAGUUACAUGAAAUAGCAGUUUGCAAGACACUGUACAUCAGAAAAUGAAGGACAGUGAUCCAUUAGAGAAAGAAAACAAAGGAGAUGAGCUCUAUAAUUUCUCCAUCUUACAGCCUUGAGAGGUUUUCCAGGCCACGCUUCAGGAAGGGUAAAUGCAGACAGACCCCAGUGAUUUUCUGAAUCAAAGAGACAAAUCUGAGAGUUCGGGAAGACCAAGGCAGCAAGAGUUCUCAUAAAAGAGUACCAGAGAGGAGAGAGCUGCAUAUGAAGAGAAUUUCAGGGAUCUGCAGAGUCCUCCUGCAUAUUCAAAUGAGUAAUGAUCAGUGCCUCUGUGUGAGGAAACUACCUGAGGCCAGAGGAAGAGCCACCCGAAAGGAUUAUAGACGAUAGUGCCAGCUCUUCACAUAGGGCACUAAACAGUGCCUGAUCCCACCAUCCAGAAUGAAAAGCCUCAAAAUUCACAGGAAGUUGGCUUAAGUACUCAGAAGGGUCUUGCAUUAGUAGUGGUGAAUGAUUAGCCCUAGAAUAAACACUUCUUUGGAUCCAACUAUCAAAUCUUAAUAGCAAGACUCAAAAUAUCACGCAGUUUCUAAGUAACUUAACUGUAAAUGUGAAAAAAAUGUCCAGAAUAAUUUUAGGCUACAAAAGUAUCUGGCACUCAAAGAGGUACAGAUCAAAUAUAAAAUUUCCAGGAAUAAUCAGGAAAAUAUGACCCAAAAUGAGCGGAAAAAUUGCUCUAUCAAAACUGACACAGAACAGAUAUAGUGUUUAGAAUAGUAAUAGUAAAAAAUAUUAGAAAAGUUUUAAAACUGUAUUCCACAUAUUAAAAAAAAAAGUAGAUACAUAAAAGAUAUUUACAGGGGCCCAAAUAAAAUUUUUAGAGAUACAAUUGAAAUGAAUGAGAUAAAAAAAAAUACACCGAUAGGAUUAAUGCCAGAUUAGGCAUUGCAGAAGAAAAAAAUUAGCAAACUUGAAAACAUAGCAAUAAAAAUUAUCCAAACUGCAAUACAGAAAGAAAAACUGAAAAUAAAAAAAGAACUAAAGGAAAAAAAAAACAGAGCAUCAUUUAGCUCUGACUACAAGCAACCUAAUGUAUGUGCAAUUAGAGUUUCUGAAAUGGGAAUAGGGAGAGUGGGGAGGCAGAGAAACACAUCUGAAGAAAUGAUGGCCAAAAUUUUUCCAAAUUUCAAGAUCUAAGAAACUUAAUAAACCCAAUCACAAGGCAUAUGAAUAAAACUACACCUGGCGGAGCAUGGUGGCUCACACCUGUAAUUCCAGUACUUUGGGAGGCUGAGGCAGGCAGAUCACUUGAGGUCAGGAGUUCGAGACCAGCCUGGCCAGCGUGGUGAAACCCCAUCUCUACUAAAAAUACAAAAAUUAGCCAAGCAUCGUGGCAAACGCCUUUAAUCCCUGCUACUCGGGAGGCUGAGGCAUGAGAAUCACUUGAACCCCAGAGGCGGAGGUUGCAGUGAGCUGAGAUCACGCCACUGCACUCCAGCCUGGGCGACAGAGUGAGAUUCUGUCUCAGAAAACAAAACUCAAAACAAACAAAGCUACACCAAGGCACAUCAUAAACAAAGUGAUGUAAAACAGUGAUAAAGAUACAAUCACAAAAGCAGCAAGAGAAAAAAGACAACAUAUAUACAGAGGAACAAUAAGAAUGAUAGCAAAUUUCUCCACAGAAACAACGCAAGUCAGAAAACAGUGAAGCAAUAUUUUUAAACUACUAAAAAAAACUGUGAACUUAGAAAUCCAUACCCAGUGAAAAUGUCUUUCAAAAACAGAGGAAAGCUAAAGACUCUUUCAGACAUACAAAAGACAAAAUAAUUCAUCACCAGCAAACACACUACAAGAAAUAUUAAAGGAUAACCUUCAGACAGAAGGAAACUGGUACCAGAUGGAAAUAUAAGUCUAUACCCCCCAAAAGGCAAAUACAUGGGUAAAUAUACCCAAACCCAACACAUCCCACAGCUGCUGACCACGAUACAACCUAAUUGUCAACAACAGAGUCGGGUAAAUAAGUCCUCCCCCUUGCAUGUGUUUUCUUUAAACUAGCCAAUCUACAACCCCCAUAGGAAAGGCCAAGGGAUAACACCCAUUGACCUUAAUAAAGCAUAGUCCCGCAGGUCCUCUCUCUUUUCUCCCCCACCCCCAUUUAUCUAUCUUUCUCUCUCUAAGACUUUCCAUCAGCCCUCGAGGUCACUCCUCUUCUCUCAUAGAUCUUUGAGUAAGGAAAUGCUUCUGUUAUUUGAUGUGUUUUGUUGAGUUGCCUUCUCUGUGUCUCACCUGAAUGACACACCUGAACCUAACUCUCCUCCCUGUCAGGGCUACCCUAGAAAGUGGCUAUCUUGGUAGGAAUAAACAGGACACAGGUCAGACAAGAGCCACAAGGGUGCCUGCCAGAAUAAAUAAGUUUCCUGUGAGAAGGACACCUAUCUGGUCACAGGUCAGACACUUGGGCAUUAGGCCAUCCGCCAGGAUGAGGAAGUAUCCCAUGAAGCCAUGUUGUAAUCAUCCACAAUGACCUCCCCUGAAGCCCCAUUAGGGCAGGGCUAGAAUGUAUAGCCACUCUCCAGAGAAAGACCUCAAGACCAAAUUAGAGGAAAAUACAACAUAUAUCAUGACUAAGUGGGCCUUAGGCCAAGAACGGAGUCAAUUUAACAUUCAAAAGUCAAUAAAUGUAAUUCAUCUUAUUAACAAACUUAAAAAAAAUGAUCAUCUCAAUAUUCAGAAAAAGCUCUUGAAAAAAUCCAACACCCUUUCCUGGUAAAACCUCUCAGCAAAGUAAGAUAUGACACCAGAAGCACAAUCCACAAAAGAACAUGUUAAUAAAAUGGAUUUCCUCAGAAUUAAAAACUGCCCUUUGAAAGAUGCUAAGUGAAUGAAAAGAUAAGCAACAGACUAGGAGGAAGUAUUUGCAAAUGGUAUAUCUCAUAAAUAACUUAUAUUCAAAAUAUUUAAAGAACUCUCAAAUUCCAAUUAUAGGAAAACAAAAUCCCAAUACAUUUGAACAAAGGAUUUGAACAGACCAAAGAAGGUAUAUGGAAGGCAAAGAAACAAAUGAAAAUCACUACGGAAAUGCAAAUUCAAGCCACAAUGAGAUGCUACCACAUACUUAUUAGAAUAUUAGAAUACCUAAAUUUAAGACACUCAUUUGGUAAAGAUGUGGAACAACUUUGAACUCUCAUAAACUGCUCAUACGAAUGUAAAAUGGUACACUUUGGAAAGCAGUUUGGCAGUUCUUCAAAAGUUAAACAUACCCUGACCAUAUUAUGCUUAUCAUAUGACCCAGUCAUCCAUUCCAUUCCAUACCCAAGAGAAAUGAAAGCACAUGUCUAUACAAAGAUUUGCAAAUGAGUGUUCAAAGUAGCUUCAGUUGUAAUAGCCAAAUAAUAACUCAAUUCUACUUUAACUUGUGAAUAGAUAAACUGUGGUAUAGUCAUUCAAUAGAAUAUUACUCAACAAUAUAAAGGAAUAAACUAUCAAUACAAGCAGCAAUAUGGAAGAAUCUCAAAAUAAUUAUACUGAGUGAAAGAAGCCAGAGAACAAAGACCACAUGCUUUAUGAUUCCUUUUACACAAAACUCUAAAAAAUGCAAGCCAAUCUACAGUGAUAGAAAGCAGAUCGGUUGUUGCCUGGGGAUAUUAUCUUGAAUGUGGUGAUGGUUUCACAGGUAUAUACAUAUAUCAAAUUGCACACUUGAAAUAUGUGUAGUUUCAUUGUAUGUCAAUUAAUCCUCAAUAGAGUUGUUUUUUCUAAAAUAAUUAAAAAAUAUUGACAUUGAACAUUUGGAUGGAGGGGAGAAAAAGCCUGUUGGUAUGGGCACUCAACAAAGAAAACAAAUAUCCAGUUUAUUGAAAGGGAAGUAAAUUUCAAAAUAUUUGCAACUAUAGAAAGAGGAAAAAUGUAUAUUCUAUGCAUAAUAUUGAUUGCUACUAAUGUUAUUUGUGUCAAAUAUCAGAAAUACUUUCCUUAUUAAGAAAAAGAAUCCUCUGAAAUUUGCAUUCCUUAUAAAUCUAACAUGAUGAACCCUACAUGGAAAAGCAUGACCUGAAUACCUAUUACACAAU